rnacentral:rRNA from 1 species
GAGGCGUGGCUUCCGGAGCUAACGCGUUAAGUCGACCGCCUGGGGAGUACGGCCGCAAGGUUAAAACUCAAAUGAAUUGACGGGGGCCCGCACAAGCGGUGGAGCAUGUGGUUUAAUUCGAUGCAACGCGAAGAACCUUACCUGGUCUUGACAUCCACGGAAGUUUUCAGAGAUGAGAAUGUGCCUUCGGGAACCGUGAGACAGGUGCUGCAUGGCUGUCGUCAGCUCGUGUUGUGAAAUGUUGGGUUAAGUCCCGCAACGAGCGCAACCCUUAUCCUUUGUUGCCAGCGGUCCGGCCGGGAACUCAAAGGAGACUGCCAGUGAUAAACUGGAGGAAGGUGGGGAUGACGUCAAGUCAUCAUGGCCCUUACGACCAGGGCUACACACGUGCUACAAUGGCGCAUACAAAGAGAAGCGACCUCGCGAGAGCAAGCGGACCUCAUAAAGUGCGUCGUAGUCCGGAUUGGAGUCUGCAACUCGACUCCAUGAAGUCGGAAUCGCUAGUAAUCGUGGAUCAGAAUGCCACGGUGAAUACGUUCCCGGGCCUUGUACACACCGCCCGUCACACCAUGGGAGUGGGUUGCAAAAGAAGUAGGUAGCUUAACCUUCGGGAGGGCGCUUACCACUUUGUGAUUCAUGACUGGGGUGAAGUCGUAACAAGGUAACCGUAGGGGAACCUGCGGUUGGAUCACCUCCUUACCUUAAAGAAGC